UGGGACAUGGUGUAAUGGAUAGCAUAGUAGGCUGCGGACCUACAGAUCUGGGUUCGAUUCCCAGUGUCUCAACCA
rnacentral:tRNA from 2 species